GUUCUUUGCUAGUGCCACCUGUGAAGCCUGGUCUCCCCAGAGCAAGAGUGAAUUCUGCAGCGGAUGGCCUUCGAACUUGAACCUCAGGAAGGCUCUUCCCUGAGAGGGGUGGUAGACUACUUGAGAAGAGAAGAAAUGAAGACAGCUGUAGUAUUCUUUGAAGGGGCAAGGGGGAUUGAAAGGAUCCAGAUCUCAGGGUUUGGUGCUACCUGUCCUGCAGAGGAAAUCUAAUUGCCCCUCAUCUCCGCAAAAGGAAGAGGAGAGAGGAAGGAACCUUGGACACAGCUGCCACUCGGCCUUAUCUAGUGGACGCGGACUCUCAAAUGCAAAUACUUAGCAUUUUUCAUUCAAUAAGAUGCUUUUUUUUUAACCAAAGUCAAAGCAUUUAUCAUAAGUUAUUUUUAAAGCUCAGAGAUAAGUGACAUUGUACUUUUAAUUGGUUAAUGGAUAAAUAUAUUCAUCCAUUUUAUUCCCC